GAUGUCGAAUAUCGACGUCAUAAACACCAAAGUUGAUCGUGUUUAUGACGUCGAAUAUCGACGUCAUAAACACCAAAGUUGAUCGUAUUUAUGACGUCGAGUAUCGACGUC